rnacentral:lncRNA from 1 species
CAUUCCCCUAGGCAAACAGCUACCUAUCCUUCAAGUCUCAGCUCAAAUCCACUUCCUCUGUGAAGCCUUCCCUCCUUCCCUCUCUGGUCUCUUAGCACAGUUCCAUUCUUUGUGCUUCCAAAGCAUUCGGUCCAUUCCACUAUCAGGACUUAUCAUGCUAUAUUUUAAUUAGCUCUUUGUAUUUCUAUGCUAUUUCUUCACUAGAUUCCUUCAGAGACUGUGUAUGAUUUGAUUCGGUCCUGUACUCCUAGUGCCCAGGACAGAGCCUGGCACAGAAAUGAUAAAAUGAGAGGGUGACAUAAGGGAAAGUCUCCCUGUUUGUGCCCCAUGGAGAUUACAGCAAUUCCAUAUGAAAACUGUUGGGGACAGCCUUUUAAAACAGCUUUAACAGCAGCCCCAGGUGUGAGCCACUGAGAUUCUCCAGAGUUUCUCAAUAGCAGAGCGCUCCGACUCCCUUCCUAUAGGGAUCAAUCAGCUGGAAAGGAACAGACAGGCACUUUCUUCAGAGGAGAGGUUACUGUUGAUCAAGGAAGAAAUUUAUACCUUUGGUGACUUGGCUGGUAAAAGGGCAGACAACAUUUAUUAAUCAACACCAUCUGGUAGAUUCUAGCAGGUGAUGGUUUGUCAUUCAAAGUCCUGAGCCAGCACCUGCCACACAAUUAAAAGCAGGAAAACAGGAAAGAAAAGAAGGAAUCGGAUACACUGAGCAUCAACUUCUCUGUGCCAGGAACCACGGUAGGCAUUUUCUCACACAUUACAUUUUACUAUUCAUUUGUUUAAUCCUAAAACAGAUAUAAUCAACCCCACUUUCGGGGAGUGAACAUAAGUUUAACGAGUUUAAGCUGUUGGCUUAGAAGUUAAGCACUUGUAAGUGAAGCUGAGAUUGCAACCCAAGUUGAGAACUAUUUUCCGCUAUUCCAAAGAUGGCCACUAAAAUUGCUACGUUUCUAGUGCCCGAGGCCAAGGCAUCAUCAUCAAAAUAGCUACCAAUUUUUGCUCAUUUAUGAUGUGUCAAGUAUUAUGCUAAGUGUCACUCCCUCUCUCAGAUAAACCUAACAACUAAUCGCUAUUAUUCUGAUAAGAAAUGGGCAUACUAUGGUUCGAAGAGGCAAAUUUGCUGGUUCACAGUUCAAUAACUAGUAAGUAAUGGAGCCAGGACUCCAAACCAGUUUGACUCAUGUUUCUGGCUUCAGGCUUCUUCCAACAUAGGUCAUUUAAACUGCACAUUAUUCUAUAAAGAGACCAACUCAAAACCUUCACACCUAAUACACACACACACACAUAUAUAUAAAUUUUUUUUUAGGGCAAGAGGAGCUUUGGCCGUUAGUAAAAAAUAUAGUACCUCAGAUCUGUGGUCUUAGCCCUAACCAACCAGCCUGUAGAGACACUGUCUCCAAAUGCCAUGUUUUGAUUCUGAUUUACCAAGAGAUGUUCUAAAUGCUGUCACAAUCUCAUUUGGAGAUAUCCAUCAAUGAGUACAUGUGAGAACUGGGAGGUUCAGGCUGAACUACCCUCACUCUAGUUCCAUUUUGCUAGUCACUUUUAUUUUUCCUGAACCCUAAAGCCUUUAUUGGCGAUUCCUCAGGUAUCUAGAACUAGAAAUACCAUUUGACCCAGCCAUCUCAUUACUGGGUAUACACUCAAAGGAUUAUAAAUCAUGCUGCUAUAAAAACACAUGCACAUGUAUGUUUAUUGUGGCCCUAUUCACAAUAGCAAAGACUUGAAACCAACCCAAAUGUCCAACAAUGAUAGACUUGAUUAAGAAAAUGUGGCACAUAUACACCAUGGAAUACUAUGCAGCCAUAAAAAAGGAUGAGUUCAUGUCCUUUGUAGAUACAUGGAUGAAACUGGAAAUCAUCAUUCUCAGCAAACUAUCGCAAGGACAAAAAACCAAACACCACAUGUUCUCACUGAUAGGUGGGAACUGAACAGCGAGAACACAUGGACAGAGGAAGGGGAACAUCACACUCCGGGGACUGUUGUGGGGUGGGGGGAGGCAGGAGGGAUAGCAUUAGGAGAUAUACCUAAUGCUAAAUGACAAGUUAAUGGGUACAGUACACCAACAUGGCACAUGUAUACAUAUGUAACAAACCUGCACAUUGUGCACAUGUACCCUAAAACUUAAAGUAUAAUAAUAAAAAAUAAAAAAUAAAAAAUAAAAAAUAUUGGCCAGGUGCAGUGUCUCACACCUGUAAUCCCAGCACUUUCAGAGGCCAAGAUGCGAAGAUCACUGGAGACCAGGAAUUUGAGACCAGCCUGGGCAACACAGCCAGACCCUGUCUCCACAAAAAAUAAAAAUUAAAUUAGCUGGGCAUGUUGGCAUUCACCCGAAGUCCCAGCUACACAGGAGGGUGAGGCAGUAGGAUCCCUUGAGCCCAGGAAUUUGAGGCUGCAGUGAGUUAUGAGCAUGCCACCGCACUCCAGUCUAGGCAACACUGUGAAACUCUGUCCCAAAAAAUAUGUAUGUACAUAUAUACAUAGGCACUAUCUGACCCAGUAAUCUCACUCCUCAGGAUCUAUCCUAGGGAUUUCAAGAGAAAAUAUCCUUAUGUCAAAAGAUGUUCAUUGUGGUAUUAUUUAAAUAGCCAAAAUGUCCAACAAAGGAGAUUAUUAAGUAAAUCAUGUGAAAUCUAUUCAGUGAAAGGGUAUGCAUCAUAAUUCAACAUGAUCGUUCUGGAGCCUACACCAUGAGAUGGUGCCUAUGACAGACUAAGUGAUCAAAGACAGAACAGUAUUUAGCCUCUGAUUAGACCAGGAGCCCAGGGGCAUCAGGACUGAACGAUAGUACAGAAAAUCAGUAAGAGUUACUUUGCUAGGGUAGUGGAAUUAUAGCUACCAUUUUCUAGUUUUUCUAGGUUUCCUUUAUUGAUCCAUUAAUGUUUGUUAAAAUUUUAUUAAAAUAUACAAACAUUUGCAUUUCAAUUCUUUCUUCAGUGUUAACACUGGGAUUUCACCUUCUGGAUCCUGGUGUCCCUAUCAGCAGCAGCCACCAGAGAACUAACCACUGGUACUCUUUUGAGUCCUCUACUCUAAUGACUGCCUGGCCCAGGAUCUCAGGCAGACAAUUCAAUUAACCUUCAUGGCAAUGAUCACUCAGACCCAGACCCCAAUCCUACCUGAUUGCAACAAGGCUACAUAUCUGGAUGUGACUCUCAGGAGGGAUUAAAUUAAAAGACACUGAAUAUUUAAGUUUAAGUAUAAUUGAAAUUUAAUAAGUCUACCAAAUUCAGAGAGGAUUUUUAAAUGCUAAUACCCAAUGCUAAAUACAGUACAGUCAUAAAAAAGAUCACCUAGAGAAACCUGAUAUAAUCUUUCUGUAGAACAAUUUGAAUAUAUCUGUACAACAGUCCUUAAAAUAUUCAUACUCUUUGGCCCAGUUAUUAUACCUCUAUCAGGAACAAUCAGUGAGGUGGGCAUGGUGGUAUGUGCCUAUAAUCCCAGCUACUCAAGAAACUGAGGUGGGAGGAUCACUUGAGCCCAGGAGUUCAGGAAUAGCCCAGGAAACAGAGUGAGACCCUGUCUCAAAAAAAACAACAAAGAAUCAGUGGAUAAAUAUUUAUGUACAAGGAUGUUUGCUGCAGAAGUCAUAAGGCAAAAAAACAGUAAAAUAAUCUAAAUGCCGUUCAAAAAAGAACUAGUUAAAUAAACUGUAAUACAUCCAAGUGAUGAAAUAUUAUGCUGGCACAAAAAAAAUUGUUUUUGAAGAACAUUCAUGACAUGGCAACAAACCAGAGAGAGAACAUUAAACUUAAAAAAACACGAUACAAAACUGUAUUUUCAACUCGAUAACAACUCUGUGUGUGUGUGUGUGUGUGUGAGAGAGAGAGAGAGAGAGAGAGAGAGGAGAAUAAAAGGACUGAAAUGCCAAAUAGAUCAAAUGAAGCUGGUCAUUUCUAGGUACUGAGAUAAUAAGUGAAAUAUUUUCUUAAGUCUUCUGUACUGAAUAUCACCCUACAACCAGACACAGCCACAUAGCCCCAAAAGCACUGUCCACUGUGUCAGAAGGGCAGGGCGGUACUCACACGGAUGGUGCAGUCUCCUUUGCUCUUCUCUCGAUGGGCUUCCUCCAGGUCCUUCUCCAGUCUCUCCCUCUCCUGCUGCAAGUCACUC